rnacentral:lncRNA from 10 species
AGGAAUAUCCUAAAAAGAAGUGUGGUGAUAUACAAAGCAAGAUCCAGACAUCCUAUGUUGUUUCUGGAUAGGCUGUGGUCCUACAGCCGCUGCUUAGAAGUACUACAUGUUGGUAGCCAGUACAUAUGAAGAUGUGGAGAAACAGGCAUGCUCUACAUACUAGAAACAAGAGAGCCUAACACUUCACUACAAGGGUUAUGAGUGACGACUCUGCACUUGACGAGAGUAUCCUUCAAUCACUCACCUCGAAAGCAUCUCUCAUUCUGACUAAAUAACCAAUGUGUUUUAUGCGGACAUUGCAUUUUAAAUUAAUCUUUGAAAAUUUACACUAAAUUUUUUGAACUUUGCAUGAUAAAAUUGUAGUAUAUUAAU